AGAAUGGUACUUUAAAAAAAAGGAUUGGUUUGCAUCUAAUUAUUAAGCUUAGGUUUUCAUUCUU
rnacentral:tRNA from 2 species